UCACGGCCCAGGAAUGCCAGGAAUGUGGGGCGGCCGCUGCGGCCGCGGGCCCGGAGACGUCGGGGACUUGACUUGGGAUUUCUUCUCUUCUUCUUCUUCUUUUUUUCUUCUUUUUUUUUUCUUUUACUAUUCCUUCCCCCGCCACCCCUGCUCGCGAAAGAGGAGGGAUGAAACCCACCCAAAGGAGGAGGGAAAAGGAGGGAGGAAGAGGAGGGCACAGGCUCCUGCCAAUCCGGGCGGGUGCCUGGUGCAACUCUCACAAGGAGGGCAGAGCCGCCGAGUUUGGGGCAGAGCCGGGCUGCCUCCCCGUCCCGUCCCGUCCCGUCCCGUCUCCCCCCCGUCUCCCCCCCGCCCUUGCCGCUGGUGGAAGCCGCCCGCGAGCCCUCCCCUUCCCCGCCCGCGGGGGGCGAGCCCGGCGCCGGGCGGGCGAGGCGGGGAAGGGGGCGCGGGAGUGGCCCCAGAGCGGAGGGGAGACACCCCAGCAAUGCGGGCGGUGGGGAGGAGCCGGGGGAGAGGGCCCUCGCGCCCCCUGCUUUCCCCCUCCUCGCCGCGCUGGCAGGGUGCCGCCCCGCUUCCCCACUCGCCCUCUCCUGCCCCUGCAGAAGUGCCCUGCUAAUCCCUCUCGGUCUUGCAUCAGAACAUCUUUUCUGCUCCUGCCUUCCCUUUCUUCAGCCCCCUUUUCUCCAGCUUUUGGCAUUUCAGCUGUUUUCGCCUCUCGCUCAUGGUGUCAUCCUCAUUUCUUAAAGGAUGGGCAUCUCUCCUUGUCCAGCUGCGUGUUGGGCUGCUGUGGGAGAUGUUCAGGAGAAAGACUCGGGGUGCUGCAGUCAUCGUGUGGCAGGUGCCUCGCUGGAGAAGGAGCAGGAGAAAACUCAAAGUUGCUUUGAAAUGUGGUGGCUGGCAACUGUAUGAAAUUUCCAGGGCACGUGGUGCGUGGCAGAUGUGGAAAGGCCCUUCUGAUGGCUGCUUUAAGAAAGAGAAGGGGCCUGGGGCACCCCACGCUGUAGGAAGUAAGGAGAACCAUCAGGAAGGCCGGAACUACCUAGAGAAGAAAAAUGAAUCAGACAAGACCAGUCUCUCUGCAUUUGAGGAAAACUUGUUCAAUGACCAUAAGUGCAGAUGAAAUAAUGUUGCAAGAAGAAGCAUAAGCAUGCUGAUUGAUAAAGUUUUUAGAGGGGAACUUCUCUAUAGUUGCUACCCCCGGCACAGUUCCCUAGAAGAAGUAAAAACAGACUACUUGUCAGCAAGAGCUUUUGCAAAAAGGUAAGCUGAACAACUUUUGCAAAAAGGUAAGCAGAACAAAAUCUGCAAAAUGAAAUAUAUUUCAAACUAAUCCAAACAAGGGACAUGUCUGAAAUUGGGAAUGGUGAAGAUUACUUAUUCAUGAGAAUCCUUAAUACAAUGAUUAAUAUCCGUAUUAGACUCUUAGAAACUGCAGCAAUAGGUGCUUUAGAAAUACAGAGCUUCACAGAGAUCAUAGCCAGUUACUGCAGUGUCUUCCAUGAGGAAAUCUGUUGUGUUGGUGGUACUUCCACUAAGACUGGUGAAACCUUGCACCUUUAGAUAUAUCUUUGUUCCCACAGAGCUGCUAGGAUUAUAGGACCCUGAGAUUAAAACCAAGAGUUCCUACCUGCUUCUUGGGGUGUGAUUUCAUAAUAUACAAAAGAUGUAUUAGAGGUUCCUAGGGGUGUUUCAAAAAUGUGGUGUUAAAAUGAUACAAAUCAUUGGUUUGAUUCCAAACCUCUGUGCUGGUUCAAAUUUGUCCAGAAAACUUUAAUAUUCUUUCAGUAAUAUGUGGGCUGGAUUUAUGCAUUAUCUUUCUAUUCCACUAGGGAGUCACGUUACAACUUUUUUUUGCUGAAAAGUAACAAUUCUACAUAAUGUUUAGAGACGUUAAUGACUUGCUAUAAUGAUUUGUGGAAUUUAACUCUAAAAUAUUCCCUCUGCACUGGUAUGAAUUAUUUUUUUAUUAGCUCCUUCUGCAACUCCAUCAGGAUUAUUACAUUAAGAUGCUCUAUGGAGGAGUAGCAUAGACCAGAAUUAAAUGAUUGACAUAGGAUUGUACCUCAGUUACCUUAGCUGCUGGUCUUUGGUGUGUCUUGGGCAAGUAGCAGCACAUCUCUGUGCCUCAGUUUUCUUCUCUGAAAACUGAGAUAAUGAUAAUCGUCUUAGUAAGGUGCUUUUUGAUUUAAAGAUGAAAGCACUGCAUAGGAGCUAGAUGCUAUUUAAAAAAAAUUCCCAAAUCAUGGAUUAGACAGACUUGAAUAUUGUCUUAAAAACCUCAUGAAAAUAAAAGCCCAACACCAUUCAGGCUGACCAAAUGCUUAAUAUUAGUAGAGGAAUACUGAUUUUAUCUGGGUGAAAAUACAGCAGACUUUUAAUGCAUUAUCUGAAGAGCCAAGUGCAAUAAAUUUUGACGUAUCUUGGGACCUUGCUUGUAAGACUUGUAUUAAACAUAUUUUGAGUGUGUUUAAACCUAGGCAACUGCAGUUUUAGAGUCUUGUCAUAACAUGGAAAAAUCUCAGUCCUUGUUGGUUGGUAAAACCAUGUCAUAACCUGUAUUGAAUAAAACUGUCUUUAAACUCUGCUUAAGCAACAGCUGGUGGUUUCUUCUGUGAAUAGUAGAUGAUGUUUAAUUAGCCUUACAGUCAUCUACAUUACAAUCAAAUCAAAGAAUGCAGUUGCAACACAUUCCCGAUUUGUAUUGUAAAUGUGACCCUAACUGUGUUCCUAAAAUCUCUGUCAUGUGCUACAGCUGGGUACACUGACCUGAUUGUAAUGUAAGCAAAAACUUGAUGCAGUAGCAGGAAUUCCCAUUUCUAAAAUCAAUUUGUUCUUUAUAAAUUGGUACUUCUAAUGGUCGCAGCUUACCACAAGCGAGAAAAAGUUUACUUCUGUAGUAUUCUGUGUUCUCAUUAAUUAUUUCAUUUAAUAGUGCUUUUCAAAAUCGUCUCUUAGAAAAGGAAUUUGGAUUACACAAUCUUGGAAAACAAACCUGUUGCCACCAAGCAUGAGCUAACAUGUUAUAGUACUCUACAGCUUAUCAUAAGUAAGCCAGCACCCAGUCUUGUAGACCAGAAAAACUCUUGGGUGAUUAACUGUGCAAAUAAACUAUGCUGUGUUGAAUAUUCUAGUUUGCUUAGACUUACAUUCUGCCUGAGGACUCACUGAGUAGAUGAGCCUCUUGUCUUCUGUAAGAGUUAAGAUCACAAACUUUUUAUUAUUUGUGAGUAUAAUGGUGAACUUUUGAUUCCACAGUUGUAAGCGCUCAAAAUGUGCUUUUAAUAGCAAUAUACCUCUGUAUGUAACUGUUACUGCUAUCCAAGCUAGAAUAGUCAAAAUUUUAGGACAAGACAGAAUCAUGUUUUGCCAUUUUCUUAGGUUAACAAUUAGAGUAUUUUUAAAUGUAUCAUUUAGCACAAUUAUUAAGUUUAUUACCCUAAUCCUAGAUUAGCUAAAUUAACUUCUGUUAAAAGCUAGUGAAUUUUUUGUUCAAGAAAUCAAUGUUUUGCGAAAUCUGAAGAGCUAGGUUCAUAAUUUGCUGUUCAGUGAUAUAGAUACAUUAUGUAUCUGUGUAUACCAUCUGCCUGAAUGACAGGGUAGCAAGUCUACAGCACAUAUAAGUAAAAGCAACUUCAGUUUCAAAAAUUCUCAAGCUGUAGCUUUAAGGACCCAGUUCGUCAAAGUAAUUUAUUACAAGUUUAGCUUUUAGCCUGUGCUUCAAUUCUCCUUGAGCCAACGUGACUUAACAGCAUGCCUGCAAGUCAGCAUGCACUACUGAUUUGUAGACAUUUUAGCUGCUCCUCACUUCUGAUGAUCAUAAUCUUUAUUUAUGUGUCUCGGCAUGGAUUUAGGUGUCUGACUUUGGGCACCCAGGUUUGAAAAUAUUUCAUUGCCACUCAGAGAUGAAUGGUUUCUUGAGAAAACAAAGAGCUAAUGUCAUAAUCUAACAUUUGUUUUUGUGACUGUCACAAACUUGUGUAACUUGAACAGAGUGUAUAAAGUUUGCUUAUCUGUGAAAUGGGCAUAAUACCAUACUUGGAUAAAUAAGUACUGUAAAACUCCACAAUUUUAAUACUUUCUGAAAUCAACAAAUGAAGGCCUCUAUAAAUGAAUAAAGCCUUAGCAAUAUGUAUGUCA